rnacentral:rRNA from 1 species
GAGUUGUUUGGGAAUGCUGCUCAAAAUGGGAGGUAAACCCCUUCUAAAGCUAAAUACCGGCCAGAGACCGAUAGCGCACAAGUAGAGUGAUCGAAAGAUGAAAAGCACUUUGAAAAGAGAGUUAAAAAGCACGUGAAAUUGUUGAAAGGGAAGCGCUUGCGACCAGACUCGCGCCCGUCGGAUCAGCCGUCGCUCGUCGGCGGCGCACUCCGGCGGGCUCGGGCCAGCAUCAGUUCGCCUCGGGGGGAGAAAGGCGGCGGGAAUGUGGCUCCACGGAGUGUUAUAGCCCACCGCGUAAUACCCCCGGGCGGACUGAGGACCGCGCGUAUGCAAGGAUGCUGGCGUAAUGGUCGUCAGCGACCCGUCUUGAAACACGG